CCACCCCACCCUGGGGGGAGCAACCGCGGCGGCCUCCGGGGGCGGCGAGGCAGUGCUGCAGGCGGGCCGCAGAGGCCAAACCUGGGCGGGGGGGGGUCCCCGCCUCCCUUCGCUGCCGCCCACAGGUCAGGGGACGCUGGGCAGUAAUUAAACAGCAAACAAACCUUGGGGCCCAGGCAAUAGCCCCUCAGCCGGCAGUUCCUGGCCCCUGGAGCGCCCACACUGUGCCAGCACCAGGAGAGGGGACCAGCCAGCGCAACACUUUGGUUCCUUGGGUUGUGAGCCCAGCAGGGAACGAAAGAACGGCCAUAUUGGGUCAGAGCAAAGGUCCAGCUAGCCCAGUGGCCUGUCUUCCAAUGCCAGGCGCCUCAGAGGCAAUGACCAGAACAGGUGACGGCCCCCAUGGAACUGCUGUGGCACAAGAGUGCCUGUGGCAUGGAGCUGGCAUAACCACCAUCCCAAAGAGCCCUAGGAGUAGGAGUGGCUGGCUAGGGAAUGAGGGUGUGACUGGAACACCGUAACUCUUUCCAGAUUCCAGAAGGUAAUUGGGCACAAGGUCCUGUUUUGGAAUAGAAGGAUGUGGAAAAGGCAGGAUCUCAGACAGUAUUUUGUGGGGAAUUGAAGGCCCGUCUCUAUCACAGACCACACUGUUGUGAUGCACAGUGUGCCAAAAGACCAAGAGUGGAACAGCUCACUGAAUCCAUGAAGCACCAAGUGACAUGGAUUAGAAUAGACUCCUGAAAGCAUUAAAGUGACAGUCUGUUUUUUCUAUCCUUAUUUUUAAGAAUUCACUAUGCAGAAUAAACCAUUGAGAGAUUAAAACUGAAGUCAGAUUUCUCCGCACAUGUUAUUGUAUUUUCCUGUCAUAGGCAUACAUAAAAGCAACCCUACAAUAAUAAACAUAAGUACUGGACCAUUGGCCUUCAACUUUUACUCUUUUUGCUUGUGAAUUGAAAAAGCAAUAUGUAUUUUUUUAAAUCACGUGUAUGGAGAAUUACAGAUUUGGGGGCUGAAAAAUGGGAUGAGGGCAGAGGAAGGUAUGGUAAAUUAUGUAUUGAACAAGAUUGAUUGUGCAAAAUAGUGCCAUUACCUGGACCCAAUCAAUGUCAUGUUAUAGAUUUUGUGUAGCAAGAUUAUGCACUAGCAUGACUUCAUAUAUUCUAAACUACCUUUUUCCUAGAUUUUUUUAUUCUAGGACCCAACCAGCCUGUGGCCAAUCCUUUUAUUAUGCUGUAUGCAUAUGCUCUAAAUCUGUUACAGGAGAAUUUCAGAGUUACGAACACCAGAGUUAGGAACUUAUCAGUCAACCACAUACUUAAUUUGGAACUGAAAGUACACAAUCAGGCAGCAGCAGAGACCAAAAAAAAAAAAAAGCAAAUACAGUACUGUACUGUGUUAACGUAAACUACUAAAAAAAAUAAAGGGAAAGCAGAAUUUUUCUUCUUCAUAGUAAAGUUUCAAAGCUGUAUUAAGUCCAUGUUCAGUUGUAAAUUUAGAAAAGAACAACCACAAUGUUACCACCAGAGUUACCAACAUUUCAGAGUUAUGAACAACCUCCAUUUCUGAGGUGUUUGUAACUCUGAGGUUCUACUGUAAUAAGGGGGCUUCAGAGAGUAAACAAUCUUUCUCUGCUCUGCAAUAAAACAUUGGGUCUUUGCUUGUUGAUUUUUCUGGACAAAUAUUACAAGUAUUAGAAGUCCUGCCACUUUAGAUUUAUUUCUUCAUCAUUUACAAUAAACUGUACCAACAAUUAUGUUCUUCAAUGAUUUUAGAAAACUGUCUUCCUUAAAAAUAUGUAAACAUGUGAAUCCUUUUUAAAGUUGCCUGAAAUAUAUAGUUGUGUGAUGCCAUCUAAACAAGCUAAUGUAUGUACUGAUAAACUAAAAAGAAAGAUACAUCAACCUUACACACCUCAUCCAGUGUUCAUAUUGGAUGCACUAACAAAAGUAAAGUAAUUAAUUAAGACACCGUUUACA